rnacentral:rRNA from 1 species
CCUACGGGGGGCUGCAGUGGGGAAUAUUGCACAAUGGGCGCAAGCCUGAUGCAGCCAUGCCGCGUGUGUGAAGAAGGCCUUCGGGUUGUAAAGCACUUUCAGCGGGGAGGAAGGCGUUAAGGUUAAUAACCUUGUCGAUUGACGUUACCCGCAGAAGAAGCACCGGCUAACUCCGUGCCAGCAGCCGCGGUAAUACGGAGGGUGCAAGCGUUAAUCGGAAUUACUGGGCGUAAAGCGCACGCAGGCGGUCUGUCAAGUCGGAUGUGAAAUCCCCGGGCUCAACCUGGGAACUGCAUUCGAAACUGGCAGGCUAGAGUCUUGUAGAGGGGGGUAGAAUUCCAGGUGUAGCGGUGAAAUGCGUAGAGAUCUGGAGGAAUACCGGUGGCGAAGGCGGCCCCCUGGACAAAGACUGACGCUCAGGUGCGAAAGCGUGGGGAGCAAACAGGAUUAGAUACCCAAGUAGUC